CUAAGCAUAUCAAUAAGCGGAGGAAAAGAAACUAACAAAGGGGAUUCCCCUAGUAACUGCGAGUGAAGCGGGAAGAGCUCAAAUUUGAAAUCUGGCAGCUCUUGGCUGUCCGAGUUGUAGUCUAGAGAAGUGUUACCUGUGCUGGACCAUGUACAAGUCUUCUGGAAUGGAGUAUCAUAGAGGGUGAGAAUCCCGUCUUUGACAUGGACUGCCUGUACAUUAUGGUGCGCUCUCAAAGAGUCGAGUUGUUUGGGAAUGCAGCUCAAAAUGGGUGGUAAAUGCCAUCUAAAGCUAAAUAUUGGCGAGAGACCGAUAGCGAACAAGUACCGUGAGGGAAAGAUGAAAAGAACUUUGGAAAGAGAGUUAAACAGUACGUGAAAUUGCUGAAAGGGAAACGCUUGAAGUCAGUCACGUUGGCUGGAAAUCAGCUAGCUUUUGCUUGGUGUAUUUUCUAGUCGACGGGUCAGCAUCAAUUUUGACCACUGGAUAAAGUUUUCGGAAAUGUGGCAACUUUGGCUGUGUUAUAGGCCGGAUUCGCAUACAGUGGUUGGGAUUGAGGAACUCAGCACGCCUGCAAAGGCCAGGUCUUGACCAUGUUCGUGCUUAGGAUGCUGGCAUAAUGGCUUUAAUCGACCCGUCUUGAAACACGGACCAAGGAGUCUAACAUGCCUGCGAGUGUUUGGGUGGAAAACCCAUGCGCGUAAUGAAAGUGAAAGUUGAGAUCCCUUCAGGGGGACCAUUGACGCCCGGACCAGACCUUCUGUGACGGAUCCGCGGUAGAGCAUGUAUGUUGGGACCCGAAAGAUGGUGAACUAUGCCUGAAUAGGGUGAAGCCAGAGGAAACUCUGGUGGAGGCUCGUAGCGAUUCUGACGUGCAAAUCGAUCGUCAAAUUUGGGUAUAGGGGCGAAAGACUAAUCGAACCAUCUAGUAGCUGGUUC
rnacentral:rRNA from 1 species